rnacentral:lncRNA from 1 species
UGAGAGGCUCCUAUAAAGAAAAAUUCCACAUGUUGAGCAGAUAAAACUAAAACCUCUUCAAGGAAUACUCUCUGCUGCAAUUAAGGAAUGAAAGCAAAAAACCACAAAAACUAUCCAGGCAAAACCAUCCCAAAAUAUAAUUAUUUCCUUGUUCUGUUAGGUCAUGUAAAACAUAACUUUAGUAUCUGUACUACACUGAAGAGUUUUAAUCUAAUGAUCACACAAAACCAGUGGCUCAAGAACUUAAAUACAGCAGCUCUACACAGCCACACUGCACUUGGGAGCAAUUUCAGAUCUAUUGCUCUUCAAGCAAAAACUCACAAGCAUUGCUCAAAUAACCUAUAUACAACAGCAAGAUUUAGAGGAACUGCCAUUUUAUGUCACUGUAGUAAUUUUUGAGGAAGAGUCAAAUGUUUCCUGCAAUAUUUUAAUUUUUUAAAAAGUGAUAAACACAUUCCUAUAAGCUUGUUUUAGAACAAGCCUGUUCUGACAGCUGGAAGAUUCAAGGAACUGUUCUGUUUUAAAUUGCAUAUUCAAAUAACUAGAAGUGCUAUUAAAAGAAGCAAAUUCUAUUUUUUAAAAAAAUCUUUCGCCUUCCUCCUUUAAAGAAGCCUUCAAAAGUUGUGCUUCUUUAAACUCUCUGACUUCAAGGUUACAAAAUAGUAACAGAUCUUCUUGAAUGUGAAGUGCCUUUCUCAUUAAUAUCAUCAUUCUUGUUUUGCUCGUCUCCACACUUAUUUUUUAAGACUUUGUUCAUUUGUGAAAGUAAACCAAGGCAAUGAAAAAAAAUUGGUUCAGCUGUGGUUAUAAUAUCCACCAGUUUUGUAUAAGACCAUGAUAAAUCAGCACACUUACUGUAGCUCUUUCUACUUUAUUCAAUUGCCUAUUUUCUGAGUGCCCUAUUGAGCUAUUUUCUCCUAAAAUUCAGCGCACUUACAAUUGAAUCUUCCCUCUCACACAGAUCCUAUGCACAAAGAUGCACUUUUAUUAUUUCACACCCAAGAAGUUCUGUUCCUUCCCAUCACCUGGAGCACAGAAAUGAGCUGAAGGCCACAUUGAAAUCCCACCUGCACACUCCAAAGCCCAUUUUUUCAGCUCUCACACGCUGGUGGAUCCAGAGCUGCCGCCCAGUCUGAAAUCAGGGGCAGAAGGAUGUAGGGGAACCUGGCUUAGCUGGGUAGAAUGAUCCAGCUCAGCAGACCAUAAUAGUCUGUGUGUUCUGCCUUGAUAUGACAUUUUCCUAUUCACACUUUCUUACCUGGACUGACACCCCACUUACAAUGCAAAUUCAGGGCUUUUCCUCUCACCCAAGUUACUUACAGACUUUCCAUGGCUACAGGAACCCAGUGGGGCACUUUAAUAUAGAGACUUCUGGCCAGAACACAGUUACAAAAAACUCAAUAAAAUACUGUAUUUUCUGCCCACACUUAGCACUGCAUUAGCAGCUCAGUAGCAAAAAUCCAUGGAAUUUUGUUUCUCAUGAAAUAUUUCUUAUUCAGGGCCUGAUGAGCAAAUACCAGCAUAAAUUUUGAUUCACAAUUACUGUGACUAUAUCUAUUUCUUUUUCUUCUAAAGAAAAGGUUCUGAAUUCCUGCACCUAGAAUCUUUGUUCACAUCAGAACUGUCCUAGCAUUCCCCAGAAUACCCUCAGCACUGCAGCCUCCUGGCCCCUUCAGUCUGUAAGGGAACCCAAGCAUUAUUUAGGGCUGCUAUUUGUGCUCACUCAGUUUGUUCUUGUCAAAAGGGGCAAACAAUACCAAGAACCAAAUCAGAUUAAACCAAAAUCAUUCUCUGACAGAAACCAGUAGCAUUUGCUGAGGGAAAGAAGGGACAAGAAUGGGGCAAUAGAUCAUAGCAAGCACAUUGGUGUGACCUUCCCAGCUGCCAGCCAUCCAUCACUGUGGAAUAUCCUCAGAUCUGCCAGGCUUCAUACCAGCCUGGAGAGCUGAUCCACCAACAGAGGGUUCCUCAGCAGACCCAAGAAAAAACAGAAAUCAUCACUUUAUUAAUAUUUUAAAGCCUCAUAUAAUGAAAUGGCAACAUAUUACAGUAGGUAAGAUUAUUUUAAAAAAUCAUCCUUUUUGUCUUUGCACCACUUGACUUUUUCUUGAUAAUUCAUCCAACAAAUACCAUAUGUGACUUUGAAAAAAAGUCAUACUGUGAAAUCUGGAAGAUACAGUCAAGAAGGACAUUAAAGCUUUUUGUCAAAUCUGAAAAAUAUUACUUUCCUGUUGCUACAGUAACAUCUUCCUAACAAGCCCUUUAAAUUUAAACACUGUCUUAAGAGACUUCUAGGUCAAGUUAAAAAGCACAGUCAAGCUCCUCAGAGGAAUCCAGUUCAUAUUCAGCAUGGGGAAGGAUGGAACAGAAAAGGUGAACAGAAGUUUUAAUCUAUUUCCAUAAUGACUUCUCACUUGCUGUGGUCUGUCCUACUUUCUUUCCCCUUAGCCACCCAGUAGUCUCUCUUGUGAGGAGAGAAUUCUCAAUGGUCUCUCAGGAAAAUUCCCUAAUAAUUUUUAAUCCUAGAGCAACUUAUCAUCUUCAUUAAAAAAAAAAAAAAAAAAAAAAAG